GUAGGUGGCAAGCGUUGUCCGGAUUUACUGGGCGUAAAGAGCGCGCAGGCGGUCGUGCAAGUCGCGUGUGAAAGCCCCCGGCUCAACUGGGGAGGGUCACGCGAUACUGUUCGACUCGAAGGCAGGAGAGGGAAGCGGAAUUCCCGGUGUAGUGGUGAAAUGCGUAGAUAUCGGGAGGAACACCAGUGGCGAAGGCGGCUUCCUGGCCUGUUCUUGACGCUGAGGCGCGAAAGCUAGGGUAGCAAACGGGAUUAGAUACCCCGGUAGUCCUAGCCGUAAACGAUGGACACUAGGUGUUGGUGGUAUCAACCCCGCCAGUGCCGAAGCUAACGCAUUAAGUGUCCCGCCUGGGGAGUACGGCCGCAAGGCUA
rnacentral:rRNA from 1 species